rnacentral:rRNA from 1 species
GACGAACGCUGGCGGCGUGCUUAACACAUGCAAGUCGAACGGAAAGGCCCUGCUUUUGUGGGGUGCUCGAGUGGCGAACGGGUGAGUAACACGUGAGUAACCUGCCCUUGACUUUGGGAUAACUUCAGGAAACUGGGGCUAAUACCGGAUAGGAGCUCCUGCUGCAUGGUGGGGGUUGGAAAGGUUGGGCGGUUGGGGAUGGACUCGCGGCUUAUCAGCUUGUUGGUUGGGUAGUGGCUUACCAAGGCUUUGACGGGUAGCCGGCCUGAGAGGGUGACCGGCCACAUUGGGACUGAGAUACGGCCCAGACUCCUACGGGAGGCAGCAGUGGGGAAUAUUGCACAAUGAGCGGAAGCAUGAUGCAGCAACGCCGCGUGAGGGAUAACGGCCUUCGAGUUGUAAACCGCUUUCGCCUGUGACGAAGCGUGAGUGACAGUAAUGGGUAAAGAAGCACCGGCUAACUACGUG